CACGUAGGGGGCAAGCGUUGUCCGGAUUUACUGGGCGUAAAGAGCUCGUAGGCGGUUCGGCAAGUCGGGUGUGACAACUCCAGGCUCAACCUGGAGAGGUCACUCGAUACUGCUGUGACUAGAGUCCGGUAGGGGAGCAUGGAAUUCCCGGUGUAGCGGUGAAAUGCGCAGAUAUCGGGAGGAACACCAGUGGCGAAGGCGGUGCUCUGGGCCGGAACUGACGCUGAGGCGCGAAAGCUAGGGGAGCAAACGGG
rnacentral:rRNA from 1 species